CUUUGAAGUGUGGACGCCAGUCUGCAUGGAGCCGACCUUGAAAUACCACCCUUUAAUGUUUGAUGUUCUAACGUGGACCCGUAAUCCGGGUUGCGGACAGUGUCUGGUGGGUAGUUUGACUGGGGCGGUCUCCUCCUAAAGAGUAACGGAGGAGCACGAAGGUUGGCUAAUCCUGGUCGGACAUCAGGAGGUUAGUGCAAUGGCAUAAGCCAGCUUGACUGCGAGCGUGACGGCGCGAGCAGGUGCGAAAGCAGGUCAUAGUGAUCCGGUGGUUCUGAAUGGAAGGGCCAUCGCUCAACGGAUAAAAGGUACUCCGGGGAUAACAGGCUGAUACCGCCCAAGAGUUCAUAUCGACGGCGGUGUUUGGCACCUCGAUGUCGGCUCAUCACAUCCUGGGGCUGAAGUAGGUCCCAAGGGUAUGGCUGUUCGCCAUUUAAAGUGGUACGCGAGCUGGGUUUAGAACGUCGUGAGACAGUUCGGUCCCUAUCUGCCGUGGGCGCUGGAGAACUGAGGGGGGCUGCUCCUAGUACGAGAGGACCGGAGUGGACGCAUCACUGGUGUUCGGGUUGUCAUGCCAAUGGCACUGCCCGGUAGCUAAAUGCGGAAGAGAUAAGUGCUGAAAGCAUCUAAGCACGAAACUUGCCCCGAGAUGAGUUCUCCCUGACUCCUUGAGAGUCCUGAAGGAACGUUGAAG
rnacentral:rRNA from 1 species